CAGUGGCAUGGAUGAUAAAGUGUGAGUCAUACUCUUUUAGAUGCAAUCAACCCGAACCUGCCUUUUGGCUAACUUUUUUUCUCCCGUCAAAUUUCAGAUCACAUCAGAAAAGCAUACAUUUUUUAAUAAAAAAUAAGGAAAUAAUAAAAAAGUGUAAAAAAUAGAGUAUUGGGUAGAAAUUGAUGCAACACUUCCUUAAUGCGCUCAUAGCUAUAAUAAAUCUGAAGCGUUGUUUCAUGAUAAUUUUAUGAAUAUAGUUACGUUGGUGCCAUGACCCUGGUGGAAGUAAGGUUUAGUUUAGCACUGGAGGCCAGCUAAUACACUCUCUCAAGAGGCAGAAUAGAGGCUUCGGUCUUUAGCAUCCUUGCUAGAGCUCCUGCCUCCCAUGAAACACUGGUUCAAAACCUGCUCAGAGCAGGGUUACAUUUAAGGUGCAGUAUA